rnacentral:rRNA from 1 species
AUUGAACGCUGGCGGCAGGCCUAACACAUGCAAGUCGAGCGAGCGGCGGACGGGUGAGUAAUGUCUGGGAAACUGCCUGAUGGAGGGGGAUAACUACUGGAAACGGUAUCUAAUACCGCAUACCAUCAGAUGUGCCCAUAUGGGAUUAGCUAGUAGGUGGGGUAACGGCUCACCUAGGCGACGAUCCCUAGCUGGUCUGAGAGGAUGACCAGCCACACUGGAACAGAGACACGGUCGAGACUCCUAAGGGAGGCAGCAGUGGGGAAUAUUGCACGAUGGGCGCAAGCCUGAUGCAGCCAUGCCGCGUGUGUGAAGAAGGCCUUCGGGUUGUAAAGCACUUUAAGCGGGGAGGCGUUACCCGCAGAAGAAGCACCGGCUAACUCCGUGCCAGCAGCCGCGGUAAUUC